AUGUUUCCUACUAUCCUUCUAGCUCUAAAUCUAUUAAAUCCCUCAAAUUAUACUCUUUUUUUAAAAGCCUUUCUUCAGCCUUUUCUUAUAGAUCUACUGGAUAUUAUUUCCCAUCUUCAACUCUGUGAUCCAGACAAAUUACAUUUCUCUAUUCUUUUUCCACACAGCACUAACUAUAUGUCUAAAUUACACUUCUUCCUCACCUCUGCCUCAGAAUUCCUCCUUAUGACAUACCUUAAAUUCCAUCUUCUACAGGAGUCUUUCCUGAUUUUCCUAAAUGCUAUUGACCUCUCUCCCAAAGGAUCCUUGACUCACAUCAAGAUUCAGGUGCUAUCUCCUAUGAUCAAUGGAGAGAAAUAUAAGUCACAUGAACAUGGUGCAACAUGUAACAAAUAAGGAUAUUCAAAGUACUAAAGAGAAGGAUACCAUCAGAUAACCCUUCCACAGCCUAAUGCUGUAAGACUUCUGUGGCACUGAUUAAUGCCAUCUUGGGUUGGAGAGUGGGAGAGGAUCUAUCCAAAAAAAAUUGAAACUGGACAUGUGAAUUGUACAGGGUGAUCGUUCAGACAAAAACAAAGUCAAUAGCUGGGAAAACUAACAUAUCAGAGGUGGUAAGUGGUGUCUUGAAGCUGCAGCUGGGCUACACUGAUAUCAGAGAGAAACUAGUGAAGAGGCAGUGGUCAAGGGUCAGCAGUAAUGAUUCAGUACUGAGUUACAUAAGCCUCCAGCUUCCUCUGAAUUCCCUUAAGCUUAGAGGCUUCUGCUAUUGUCCCUCUCUUGUGUUUCUGCUUGCCAUGAGCUAAAGUGGAUUGUUAACAUUAUCAAUUGGUUUUUAAAGUCAUUUUAAAGGAUUUUACUGCAAGAGUUCCAUGAACUUUUGUUUUAUCUACAAAAAAAAAUAAAAUUGAGAAUCACUCUCUCA
rnacentral:lncRNA from 1 species